CUAGGAUUCCCCCAGUAACGGCGAGUGAAGAGGGACUAGCCCAAAUUUGUAAUCUGGCUCUUUCAGAGUCCGAGUUGUAAUCUCGAGAACGCUUUUCCGUGUGGGACCUUGUAUAAGUCUGUUGGAAUAUAGCUUCGUAGAGGGUGAGAAUCCCGUACAAGACAAGGACUACCCAUGCUUUGUGAUAGCGUCUCCAAGAGUCGAGUUGUUUGGGAAUGCAGCUCAAAUCGGGUGGUAAAUUCCAUCUAAGGCUAAAUAUUGGCGAGAGACCGAUAGCGAACAAGUACCGUGAGGGAAAGAUGAAAAGCACUUUGGAAAGAGAGUUAACAGUACGUGAAAUUGUUAAAAGGGAAACGCUUGAGGUCAGUCUUGUAGUGUGUUGUUCAACCGCAAGGUGUAUUCAACGUAUUACAGGCCAACAUCAGUUUUCGGUGUUGGAUAAGGGUGUUUGGAACGUAGCAACCUCGGUUGUGUUAUAGCCUUUCACUUGAUACAACGCUGGGGAUUGAGGAACGCAGUGAGCCUUUUGGCGAGUCCUUCUUGGACUUUCUCACUU
rnacentral:rRNA from 1 species